rnacentral:rRNA from 1 species
UACGUAGGGUCCGAGCGUUGUUCGGAAUUACUGGGCGUAAAGGGCUCGUAGGUGGCCAACUAAGUCAGACGUGAAAUCCCUCGGCUUAACCGGGGAACUGCGUCUGAUACUGGAUGGCUUGAGUUCGGGAGAGGGAUGCGGAAUUCCAGGUGUAGCGGUGAAAUGCGUAGAUAUCUGGAGGAACACCGGUGGCGAAGGCGGCAUCCUGGACCGACACUGACACUGAGGAGCGAAAGCCAGGGGAGCAAACGGG